rnacentral:rRNA from 1 species
GAUGAACGCUGGCGGCGUGCCUAAUACAUGCAAGUCGAGCGAACAGAUAAGGAGCUUGCUCCUUUGACGUUAGCGGCGGACGGGUGAGUAACACGUGGGUAACCUACCUAUAAGACUGGGAUAACUUCGGGAAACCGGAGCUAAUACCGGAUAACAUUUGGAACCGCAUGGUUCUAAAGUGAAAGAUGGUUUUGCUAUAACUUAUAGAUGGACCCGCGCCGUAUUAGCUAGUUGGUAAGGUAACGGCUUACCAAGGCAACGAUACGUAGCCGACCUGAGAGGGUGAUCGGCCACACUGGAACUGAGACACGGUCCAGACUCCUACGGGAGGCAGCAGUAGGGAAUCUUCCGCAAUGGGCGAAAGCCUGACGGAGCAACGCCGCGUGAGUGAUGAAGGAUUUCGGCUCGUAAAACUCUGUUAUUAGGGAAGAACAAAUGUGUAAGUAACUGUGCACGUCUUGACGGUACCUAAUCAGAAAGCCACGGCUAACUACGUG